UACGGAGGGGGCUAGCGUUGUUCGGAAUUACUGGGCGUAAAGCGCACGUAGGCGGACCGGAAAGUCGGAGGUGAAAUCCCAGGGCUCAACCUUGGAGCGGCCUUUGAGACUCCUGGUCUUGAGUGCGAGAGAGGUGAGUGGAAUUCCGAGUGUAGAGGUGAAAUUCGUAGAUAUUCGGAGGAACACCAGUGGCGAAGGCGGCUCCCUGGUUCGACACUGACGCUGAGGCGCGAAAGCGUGGGGAGCAAACAGG
rnacentral:rRNA from 1 species